CAACGAUCUGGGCACUGUCUCAGCCAUGAGCUCGGUGAAAUUGUAGUAUCGGUGAAGAUGCCGAUUACCCGCAACGGGACGGAAAGACCCCAUGAACCUUUACUAUAGCUUCACAUUGGUAUUGGGUAAAUGAUGUGUAGGAUAGCUGGGAGGCUUUGAAGCUGUGUCGCUAGGCAUGGUGGAGCCGUUGGUGAAAUACCAGCCUUUAUUUAUCUGAUGCCUAAUC
rnacentral:rRNA from 14 species